rnacentral:rRNA from 1 species
UACGGGGGGGGCAAGCGUUGUUCGGAAUUACUGGGCGUAAAGGGCGCGUAGGCGGCCUGCUAAGUCGGACGUGAAAUCCCCCGGCUCAACCGGGGAACUGCGUCCGAUACUGGUGGGCUCGAAUCCGGGAGAGGGAUGUGGAAUUCCAGGUGUAGCGGUGAAAUGCGUAGAUAUCUGGAGGAAUACCGGUGGCGAAGGCGGCAUCCUGGACCGAGAUUGACACUGAGGAGCGAAAGCCAGGGGAGCAAACGGG